rnacentral:rRNA from 1 species
AGAAACUAACAAGGAUUCCCCUAGUAACUGCGAGUGAAGCGGGAAAAGCUCAAAUUUAAAAUCUGGCGGUCUCUGGCUGUCCGAGUUGUAAUCUAGAGAAGUGUUGCCCGCGCUGGACCGUGUACAAGUCUCCUGGAAUGGAGCGUCAUAGAGGGUGAGAAUCCCGUCUUUGACACGGACUACCAGGGCUUUGUGGUACGCUCUCAAAGAGUCGAGUUGUUUGGGAAUGCAGCUCAAAAUGGGUGGUAAAUUCCAUCUAAAGCUAAAUAUUGGCGAGAGACCGAUAGCGAACAAGUACCGUGAGGGAAAGAUGAAAAGAACUUUGGAAAGAGAGUUAAACAGUACGUGAAAUUGCUGAAAGGGAAACGCUUGAAGUCAGUCGCGUUGGCCGGGGAUCAGCCUCGCUCUUUUGCGUGGUGUACUUUCCGGUCGACGGGUCAGCAUCAAUUUUGAUCGCUGGAAAAAGGCCUGAGGAAUGUGGCAGCUCCGGCUGUGUUAUAGCUUCUGGUCACAUACAGCGGUUGGGAUUGAGGAACUCAGCACGCCGCAAGGCCGGGUUUCGACCACGUUCGUGCUUAGGAUGCUGGCAUAAUGGCUUUAAGCGACCCGUCUUGAAACACGGACCAAGGAGUCUAACAUGCCUGCGAGUGUUUGGGUGGAAAACCCGAGCGCGUAAUGAAAGUGAAAGUUGAGAUCCCUGUCGCGGGGAGCAUCGACGCCCGGACCAGAACUUUUGGGACGGAUCCGCGGUAGAGCAUGUAUGUUGGGACCCGAAAGAUGGUGAACUAUGCCUGAAUAGGGUGAAGCCAGAGGAAACUCUGGUGGAGGCUCGUAGCGAUUCUGACGUGCAAAUCGAUCGUCAAAUUUGGGUAUAGGGGCGAAAGACUAA